UAUAAUAAAUCCUACACAGUGAUGUAUGUGAUAAGGUAUAUCAUAUACACAGUAUUUGCUGUACUACACAGUACAUUCUGCAUGCUAUGUGCAACACAGUGCAUAACAAAGUUGAUGUAUUUUGUUCUUGUAAAUAAAUUUGUAUUUAUAUUAUACUCCAUACAUUAACAUCUAUAUAGAAAUAGCAGAUAAUAUUGUAGUAUGUUUACCAUUACAGGCCUAUACAUCUUCUGUAUAUACCUAUUUGCUUCAUACAUCUUCUUUCAAUACCUCUUUUCAGAACACCCUUUGUAGGAAAGCUCACAGUGACACAGAACAGAGCACAUUGUAACUCCAGGAACAGACUCGACUGUGAAAGAUCUCUAUCAGGCAUCACAGAGAAUUUGAGGCAGCUGGCAGUUAUCAGCUGAAGCAGUUAGUCAGUAGAAAGGUACAAGAUAAAUAGAUAAUUGAAAAGCAAUCUGGAAACCUGGGAGAGAUAAUAAGCCUCUCUUCUGGAAGGGAGCUAACAACUCAGAAAACACAGUCAAUGCAAUCUAUGGACCUUCUCGAUGCCUUGCCUGCUGAAAAAUUACCUUGCAUAAGUUUCAGAGGGAGCUGUUAUUCUCUAAACUCCGCCUGAACACAGAGAAAAAUUAUGGCAUCAUAUGAAAUGUACUCUCAGUUUCUGUCUUGCAGUUCUCUACAGGAUGAAAUUCCCAGAAACUCGAAAAAUGUUAUAAUGUAAUCACCAAGUUCCUGACAAAAAUAGUGAAAAGAACUUACUUGAGUUUCUCCCAAAGAAAAAUCAGGAUUCCAUAAAAUUGUUGGAUCCUCGCUUGCCCUUUGCUGUGACUCAUGCACAUCUUACAACUGUACUCAAAGCUAUUGGCCAGGUAAAGCAAUCUUGGAUAUCUUCAUGUGCCUUUAUUCUGAAAAUGUGCAUCAAUGUAAUGGCAGCUCUGGGAUCUCUCCAGCUUAUUCAAUGCAUUCAAGAUAUUAACAGGAUUAUUUCAGUUGGUAACCUGAAAUAAUAUGAGAUUACCUUUAUUGAUGCAGCUUACUCUGAAUUUGAUGUCCAGAUGCCUUAUUUACUUACUUACAGUUCCAUGUGAAUAAAAUAUUUUGCUGCAAAAGCAGUUUUUCGUUUUCUUUGUAGUGAUUUUAUCUACUGUGAGAAGUCAUUGGUCCCUUAUCCUAGAGGUUUUUGCUUCGCAUAGCACCAGCACCACAAGGUUUUUUAGAGCGCUGGAUUAAUCUGAUGAUCUUCAGCUAAUAUACUACAGACCAGGUUGGAACCCGCCAUAAAAUGAGAUCAGAAAGCAAUAGCAAAGCACACAAUCCAAGUUGUGGUCAAACUAAGGUUACAUAGUGUGGCUACUGCCCCAGCUACAGAGACAGAGCCUGGACAGCUGCAGAGCAGUGGCAGCCAGCCAGCAUGCCUGAACAGAUGAAGAUGAGGCCAAAAGGAGGAGGACUUAAACCUCAGAUAUUAGCUGUUCUAAUAUAGAACGAACAAGCUAUAUAAGAACUCACAUACCGAGACAAGAACUGCAACUGCUAGUUGGAAAGAAAAUCCUUGAAGUUUCUUGUGCAGCUUUUCAAAUGGAAAUUCUCAAGUAUUAAAAAAAUAUUAGCUUUUAAGAUGUAUUUAGUUAUAAAAUUUGUUUAUACAAGGUACAUCAUAAGCAAUCUUUGCCCUCAAAUACGUCAUAGACCCCGGCAUUAAAAUGAGACCAUGUCUUCACAGGCACAUCACAGUUUAUGCAAAGGUAAUCCUGGUUUUCCUUCUUUGGCUGGGAAUUAGACUCUGUGAUCCCAACUAUCCUGUUUUAGUAUCCUAACUAGCUCACUCUUCACGUGGGCUUGCUAGGAUACUCUGCUGUGUCUUGUGGAUUAUAAUUGUUCUUUGAACAGUAAAAGCUAUGUAUGAAAAGUACGUUUUUCAGAUAUAAUGUAUAAGCUGUGCUAUCUCCUCUGGCUGAAAAGAUUAUUUUGCCUAUUCUAUUUAUAAAGGGUAUUGAUGCUUUACACAAUAGUUGCAGACCCUAACACAAAGGUCUGGCAAGUGAAAAUUAGGCAAUUAAACAGCUCAAAAAGCAGGAAAAGAAAAUGCAGUACAAAAAGAUCUAUCCAGAGAACCCAUAGCUGUCUGUAACCCUCCCAGUUACUCUGCGUAGGAAGUAUUCAGAAUUAGCUGUGAAUACAGAUGACGUCAGAACCAGUCCUCUAAAGCUUUUCAAUUUUCCAGUAUGAAAAUAUGCUGUAGAACUGUGGAAUCAGAUAUGAAACAAACUUAAUUUUUUUUCAUGUCAAUAGAAUAUUUUUCAUUAAAUUUUAGUUAAACUGGG